rnacentral:rRNA from 1 species
GUAUAAUGGGUCAGCGACUUAUAUUCUGUAGCAAGGUUAACCGAAUAGGGGAGCCGAAGGGAAACCGAGUCUUAACUGGGCGUUAAGUUGCAGGGUAUAGACCCGAAACCCGGUGAUCUAGCCAUGGGCAGGUUGAAGGUUGGGUAACACUAACUGGAGGACCGAACCGACUAAUGUUGAAAAAUUAGCGGAUGACUUGUGGCUGGGGGUGAAAGGCCAAUCAAACCGGGAGAUAGCUGGUUCUCCCCGAAAGCUAUUUAGGUAGCGCCUCGUGAAUUCAUCUCCGGGGGUAGAGCACUGUUUCGGCAAGGGGGUCAUCCCGA